rnacentral:rRNA from 1 species
GAUGAACGCUAGCGAUAGGCUUAACACAUGCAAGUCGAGCGGCAGCACAAGGUAGCUUGCUAUCUGGGUGGCGACCGGCGCACGGGUGCGUAACGCGUAUGCAACUUGCCCUAUACAGGAGGAUAACCCGUCGAAAGACGGACUAAUACUGCGUAUGCUCACAACUUGGCAUCAAGUGGUGAGGAAAGAAAUUCGGUAUAGGAUAGGCAUGCGUCCCAUUAGCUUGUUGGUGAGGUAACGGCUCACCAAGGCAACGAUGGGUAGGGGAACUGAGAGGUUUAUCCCCCACACGGGUACUGAGACACGGACCAGACUCCUACGGGAGGCAGCAGUGAGGAAUAUAGGUCAAUGGGCGCGAGCCUGAACCAGCCAAGUCGCGUGAAGGAAGACUGUCUUAUGGAUUGUAAACUUCUUUUAGACGGGAAUAACAAGAGUCACGUGUGACUCCCUGCAUGUACCGUAUGAAUAAGCAUCGGCUAACUCCGUG